AUUUGAUUAGGAUUUAGGAUUUUAUUACAAUUUGAUCUAGAGUUUGGAUUUGAUUAGGAUUUGAUUAAGAUUUAGGAUUUGAUUAUAAUUUGAUUAGGAUUUGGUUUAAGAUUUGAUUAAGAUUGGUUUGGGAUUUCAUUAGAAUUCAUUGAAAGUUAUAUUAAAAUUUGAUUAUGAUUCAAUUAAGAUUUCUAUUUUUGAUAUUUUAAAAGAUUUUUUUAA
rnacentral:lncRNA from 1 species